rnacentral:rRNA from 1 species
AACGCGAAGAACCUUACCUGGGUUUGACAUGGAUCGGGAGUGCUCAGAGAUGGGUGUGCCUCUUUUGGGGUCGGUUCACAGGUGGUGCAUGGCCGUCGUCAGCUCGUGUCGUGAGAUGUUGGGUUAAGUCCCGCAACGAGCGCAACCCUUGUUCACUGUUGCCAGCACGUUAUGGUGGGGACUCAGUGGAGACCGCCGGGGUCAACUCGGAGGAAGGUGGGGAUGACGUCAAGUCAUCAUGCCCCUUAUGUCCAGGGCUUCACGCAUGCUACAAUGGCUGGUACAGAGAGUGGCGAGCCUGUGAGGGUGAGCGAAUCUCGGAAAGCCGGUCUCAGUUCGGAUUGGGGUCUGCAACUCGACCUCAUGAAGUCGGAGUCGCUAGUAAUCGCAGAUCA